rnacentral:rRNA from 1 species
AGUGAACGCUGGCGGUAGGCCUAACACAUGCAAGUCGAACGGCAGCACAGUAAGAGCUUGCUCUUACGGGUGGCGAGUGGCGGACGGGUGAGGAAUGCAUCGGAAUCUACUUUUUCGUGGGGGAUAACGUAGGGAGACUUACGCUAAUACCGCAUACGACCUACGGGUGAAAGCAGGGGAUCUUCGGACCUUUCGCGAUUGAAUGAGCCGAUGUCGGAUUAGCUAGUUGGCGGGGUAAAGGCCCACCAAGGCGACGAUCCGUAGCUGGUCUGAGAGGAUGAUCAGCCACACUGGAACUGAGACACGGUCCAGACUCCUACGGGAGGCAGCAGUGGGGAAUAUUGGACAAUGGGCGCAAGCCUGAUCCAGCCAUACCGCGUGGGUGAAGAAGGCCUUCGGGUUGUAAAGCCCUUUUGUUGGGAAAGAAAAGCAGCAGGUUAAUACCCCGCUGUUCUGACGGUACCCAAAGAAUAGGCACCGGCUAACUUCGUG